UCUGCGGAGCUGAGCGCGUUCUGAGUGCAAACGAGCACUUUGUUCAUCGUUAACCGACUGAAGCCCGACAGUGCUGAGACAAUCUCUUUGUUGAGAGGAUCAGACAAGGCAGUUUAUAAGAGCCUGACAGCUCGGCUUGCACAGCUUUGCCGGCUUAAUUAACACACUUCUGCUCCAGGGGAGGAGGGAGCCUCUGCACCAAUGGAGAGCCCCACAACUGUUUCCAAAGCCAUCGAAGUGCCACCAGCAGCACCUCAAAGACCCUACCACCACCAGGGCACUAUCUUCCUAGCAAUACAGAAUGUAAACCAGUGCCUUCCCCAAAGAGGUGAUGAUCUCAGUAUGUCUUGGAGGCUAAAGGGAGGAUGCGAGGGAGCAAGGGUGCGAUGCAGCAAGGCUCUUGCUCACAGACAUCCAUCAGUUUAAUGGUCAAGUGGAAAUUGGAAGCUGGAUUUCCUGACGCUGUGGCAUGCACCCACUUUUCCAGUCAUCCCAAUCAUCACAACUGCACGUUUGGUGAUUAACGUGGAAUUUGUCCUCUCGCCCACAGCGUGUAGAAAGGGCAGACCUUUGUGGCUGGGCAGGCUGCCUGAGUACUGCUUUUUUAAA